GAGAUGUCUAGUGGGCUGGUUCGGUUGGGAUUUAUGAUUUUAGUGGGUCGAUCUGAUCUGGCCUGGUUGCUUGUGGAUCCUAUUAUCAUCUCAUCCCCGUCGCCCUUCCCUAACGUCAACAGCGGCGGCGGCGGCGGCGGCGGCGACGAUGGCGCGGCACUCGGCAGUCGCCGCACCACCAGUCUCCCACCACCCAGCCGACGCCGCCACCGUCCACCGGGGUGCUCGCCGUCGUCGCACGCGCCCCCGUCCGGCUGUCCGUGGAUCCGCUAUCUGCAUCAAGGACGGAUGGACAGGGGAGGAAGUUUGAAACCGUGGUUUGGGAAGGUGGGGUGCUCCAAUUUGGUUGUAAUGAUGCUUGCAGUUUGGAUUAGCUUGGUUUUGGAAGAUAGCGGACUGGCGUGGUCUGGAGGGGAUAAUAUAUAUUAUUAAAAUGGUCUGAUCCAGUUAUGGUGCGGUUAUCAGACCACUAGCAGCUUGAACUGUAUAUAUACACCUAGGGCUGCCACAACUACGUGCAUCUACUUCUGUACAGUUCAUACAUGACUUUUCCUUGCAAAUUAAAAUGGGAAGUAACUUUUCAUGAACUCUUUUUUAUAUGAA